UUUAAAAUUGAACGUAGUGUAUCAGUUGUGGUCGUUGCUGUUUCACUUGAUAGUGCCUGUCUUUUCCAUGGUCAUAUGGUCGGUGAUACGUGAGUGAUGCGCGUCGCUGCGAGAAGGUGAAGACUGGGCGAGUUCCUGGAGUUGAGCAAGGUCCAGUGAAUUUUGCGCAGAGGGAAGCCUGAAUAUUUUUGUCUUUAUUAGAUAAAAUAUAUUUUUUGUAGAAGACGGUGUAACCGAUAUUUGGACUGCAAAGGGGAAGAGAUAAGAUGGAAAGAGAAAAGAAAAAGAGAUCAUUGAUGCGUGUCCCCUGCUCCUGCACCGACAAAUAUUGACUGAAAAAAUCAUCAAAAGACCAUCGCCGAACUUAAGGCAACAAAAGGACUGAGGACAGGAUAGUACACACUCUGAAGGAUAUAUAAAAUAAUAUUUAUCGCUGUUCCCAGGGUCAUAAAAUGGCCGAGUCUUUUAACCAUAACCUUCAUUUUAGCGGGUCAGUGUCUCCAAAUCAAGUCGCGUCAUGUCAAGAUUUGAUGAUAAGCCAGUAUAUACGAGAUGGGCAUUAUGUCUAAUCUUGUUUUAAGUUAAUGUCUAUUGCGGCUACUUUAAGAGAACGACUUUCCAGAGAUGAGGCUGAAAACAGAGUACAUCAAUGAUGAUGAUAGAUGCUAGGAUGUCGGUUGUUCCCCAAGCACUGCAGGCUUCUGACUUAGUGUACUUUCCGAGAUCCUUACUUCAGUGAACUCGAUUCUUCUAAGGAGUGCUUCGCCAUUGACUGUCUAUGCUAGAAUUUCUUUCCCUGGGUUUUCUUCGUAUUGCGCGUUAUCCGUCCACUGAGCAGUUGCUUUGCAUUAAAAAGUGAUACAUGUGGCUGUUUCUUUUUCCAUAUUGAAUAUGCUAAAAAUUUAAUAUACCCAUGUUAUUCUGAGUUUUUGAGUUGCAACGGGUAUAUAAUCCUAUCACAACUCUGAUUUUAGCCCUCUCCUACUAUAGCAGUGAGUUUGCCAGACUUUUGAGGAUGUUUUAUGUUAGCUUAAUGUUUCUAUCUCUAUGUUUGUAUUUUUUAUCCCAAGAAUUGUUUCAGAACCUCUGGCCAGUGUGUCUGCCUUUUCGAUUUUCUGACAUUUCCUUGUUUCCUUGCAGCCAAAGUAUAAUACUCAAUUUAGUUAUAUCGACAACUUAUUUGUAGACAUCA